UCUAUCAACUUUAAGAAAAAUAGGAGGCUUAGAAGGGCUGUUAAACCUUCCGUUGAAAAAUCAACUACUGUAUCUCCAAUACUUAAGGCCAGGAACACGGUAAACAAAAACAUGGAAAAUCCAGCACAAAUGAAAUUAUUUUAUAGACAAAAGUCAUUAGCCAAUACAUAUCUUCUGUAUUGUCGGAUUUAUUUCUGUUAUAAAGUAAUAACACAUGCACCACAAUGGCCAGAAAUAAGACGAUAAUUGUAACAAUUACUACAAUAAAAGAGUUAUAACUAUUAGCGCUAAUCAAUCUAUCAUUAAAAGCGUCCGGAAUUGUUUGAUUGUAUUCUUUAACAAAUACUCCAUUUUCAGUGCCAAACUCAAUCGAUAUUAGUAUUAAACCUAUAAAUAUUCGAAAACAAUAGAGUCCUCCCAAAAAUUGAUAAUCGUCUGCUUUUUCGUCAUCACACCCACCACACAUAUAACAGCAACAAAACCGCAUGAGGUAUGAUGCAAUAUCUGCCAUGUCCGAAAAAGACAAAUCCACCAUUGUAUUUUAUUGGAAAUCAACAAAUCUUUGUUCAAAAUGUAUUGAAAGUGGUUUGUAUUUCAAACUUUCUUAUUUCUCUUUUCAAACAAUAAUU
rnacentral:lncRNA from 1 species